AUUGAACGCUGGCGGCAGGCCUAACACAUGCAAGUCGAGCGGAUGAAGGGAGCUUGCUCCUGGAUUCAGCGGCGGACGGGUGAGUAAUGCCUAGGAAUCUGCCUGGUAGUGGGGGAUAACGUCCGGAAACGGGCGCUAAUACCGCAUACGUCCUGAGGGAGAAAGUGGGGGAUCUUCGGACCUCACGCUAUCAGAUGAGCCUAGGUCGGAUUAGCUAGUUGAUGGGGUAAAGGCCUACCAAGGCGACGAUCCGUAACUGGUCUGAGAGGAUGAUCAGUCACACUGGAACUGAGACACGGUCCAGACUCCUACGGGAGGCAGCAGUGGGGAAUAUUGGACAAUGGGCGAAAGCCUGAUCCAGCCAUGCCGCGUGUGUGAAGAAGGUCUUCGGAUUGUAAAGCACUUUAAGUUGGGAGGAAGGGCAGUAAGUUAGUACCUUGCUGUUUUGACGUUACCAACAGAAUAAGCACCGGCUAACUUCGUG
rnacentral:rRNA from 1 species